CUGGCGGCGUGCCUAACACAUGCAAGUCGAACGAGAAAGUGGAGCAAUCCAUGAGUAAAGUGGCGACCGGGUGAGUAACACGUGACUAACCUACCUCCGAGUGGGGAAUAACUCCGGGAAACCGGGGCUAAUACCGCAUAACAUCGCAAGAUCAAAGCAGCAAUGCGCUUGGAGAGGGGGUCGCGGCUGAUUAGCUCGUUGGCGGGGUAACGGCCCACCAAGGCGAAGAUCGGUAUCCGGCCUGAGAGGGCGCACGGACACACUGGAACUGAAACACGGUCCAGACUCCUACGGGAGGCAGCAGUGGGGAAUUUUGCGCAAUGGGGGAAACCCUGACGCAGCAACGCCGCGUGGAGGAUGAAGCCCUUUGGGGCGUAAACUCCUUUCGACUCGGACGAUAAUGACGGUACGAGUGGAAGAAGCACCGGCUAACUCUGUGCCAGCAGCCGCGGUAAUACAGAGGGUGCGAGCGUUGUUCGGAAUUAUUGGGCGUAAAGGGCGCGUANGCGGUGCGGUAAGUCACCUGUGAAAUCUCCUGGCUUAACUGGGAGCCUGCAGGCGAAACUACCGUGCUGGAGUGUGGGAAAGGUGCGUGGAAUUCCCGGUGUAGCGGUGAAAUGCG
rnacentral:rRNA from 1 species